rnacentral:tRNA from 1 species
GCCGUGUGGUUUAGUGGUUAGGACAUUCGCACGUCAAGCGGAAGACCCAGGUUCUCGAUCCCUGGCGCGGC